UACGUAGGGCGCAAGCGUUGUCCGGAAUUAUUGGGCGUAAAGAGCUCGUAGGCGGCCUGUCGCGUCUGCUGUGAAAUCCCGGGGCUUAACCCCGGGCGUGCAGUGGAUACGGGCUGGCUGGAGGCAGGCAGGGGAGAACGGAAUUCCCGGUGUAGCGGUGAAAUGCGCAGAUAUCAGGAGGAACACCGGUGGCGAAGGCGGUUCUCUGGGCCUGUACUGACGCUGAGGAGCGAAAGCGUGGGGAGCGAACAGG
rnacentral:rRNA from 1 species